GCUGACGCCAUCACUGUUGUCCAGUCACUGCUAUUUACAGCUUUGAUCGUCGUUCUCACCGUCUCUCAGACAAGAAGACCCUCACCUGAAAGUCAUGAAGCGCCUUGUGUGUCUAUUUCUGAUCAUCAUGGUGUCAGAGGUGGUGGUGGAAGGCCUGUCCAUCCAAGGGAGGAAUGAUCUGGACCCGUGUGUCCUACACGGGGAGGGUUACUGUCAGUACCGGUGUCGUCAGCAGCAGCUCAGCGGCUUCUGUAACGAGGAAAACCGCUGCAUCUGCUACUACGACCCCAACAACUUCUUCUGAAAGACAGGAUAGCAGGUGAUGUGUGGAGGCGCCGCCUAGCGGUUGACCAACGAAGUUCACCCUGUCUCCCAAAGGGUUUUCUGAUUCCACACAGGAAAAAUAAACAAUCCAUGCAGAAAUAGAUGGUA